rnacentral:rRNA from 1 species
UAGGGAAUCUUCCACAAUGGACGCAAGUCUGAUGGAGCAACGCCGCGUGAGUGAAGAAGGUUUUCGGAUCGUAAAGCUCUGUUGUUGGUGAAGAAGGAUAGAGGUAGUAACUGGCCUUUAUUUGACGGUAAUCAACCAGAAAGUCACGGCUAACUACGUGCCAGCAGCCGCGGUAAUACGUAGGUGGCAAGCGUUGUCCGGAUUUAUUGGGCGUAAAGCGAGCGCAGGCGGAAGAAUAAGUCUGAUGUGAAAGCCCUCGGCUUAACCGAGGAACUGCAUCGGAAACUGUUUUUCUUGAGUGCAGAAGAGGAGAGUGGAAUUCCAUGUGUCGCGGUGGAAUGCGUAGAUAUAUGGAAGAACACCAGUGGCGAAGGCGACUCUCUGGUCUGCAACUGACGCUGAGGCUCGAAAGCAUGGGUAGCGAACAGG